rnacentral:rRNA from 1 species
AACGAACGCUGGCGGCAGGCUUAACACAUGCAAGUCGAACGCCCCGCAAGGGGAGUGGCAGACGGGUGAGUAACGCGUGGGAACAUACCCUUUCCUGCGGAAUAGCUCCGGGAAACUGGAAUUAAUACCGCAUACGCCCUACGGGGGAAAGACUUAUCGGGGAAGGAUUGGCCCGCGUUGGAUUAGCUAGUUGGUGGGGUAAAGGCCUACCAAGGCGACGAUCCAUAGCUGGUCUGAGUGGAUGAUCAGCCACAUUGGGACUGAGACACGGCCCAAACUCCUACGGGAGGCAGCAGUGGGGAAUAUUGGACAAUGGGCGCAAGCCUGAUCCAGCCAUGCCGCGUGAGUGAUGAAGGCCUUAGGGUUGUAAAGCUCUUUCACCGAUGAAGAUAAUGACGGUAGUCGGAGAAGAAGCCCCGGCUAACUUCGUG